UGUACAUCAGGCAGUGUGUGGGAACGGAGCUAUGACUAAUGGCUGCUUUACAUAUAAAUGAGAAGGUUUGUGCUAGGAACUGUAAAAAAAUACAAUCACUCAGCUGACGGCAGGCUUCUUAUCGCGGAUGCAGGAGAGGGACCACCAGAAAGCUGAGACAGGCUGUCUAGACAUUGCAGAUGUGGACAGAUGUUGGGUCUGUAAUUUAUAACAACGGCCUCCAGAAGGCAAUUCCAAUUUGUUUCGGUAAGGCUUUGAGUUACAGGCAGAAAAAAUAUCCUGUAAAUACCGUUGACUUACAUGGUAACUACACCAAGGGUUUUACUUAGUGAACAGUCGCUAGCUGUAGCACAAUUACACAUCACUGCAGAUUACUGGAGAAUUUAGUGUCACUGAGCAGGCAACGGCCACCAAACCAAAGUCCUGGCUUUGGGAAGGGGUGGAAAACAAGGGCACUAAGCCAUGAUAAGUAGGAAUUCAUGUAUAUUUCCUCAAACUAUCAAUUAUCCUCUAUUCUGAGGAUUCAGUUUUAUCUAUGUCAUAAUUAACCCCAACUAGCAUACCAAACUCCAGGCAAGGGUAUGCUGGUUAUAGUUUUCAACUGAUAAAGGCUUAGGCCAUGUGGUAUCUGGGGGUACUCACAAAACCCUCAGACAAGCAUGAGGCUAGUGAUUAACUUCCCCAUUACUGUAAUGGGCUACAUAUUCAACAGCAGGGCUGAAGGGCACAGAGCCAUCUUCACUUUGUCCUGGUGACCGAUGAUUCAACAGCUGUCCAGGCUAACAAUGAAGCUGACUGGACCACCCGCGUUGUGAAGUCUGUUCUGGUCAUACCAAUGGGAAAUGGAAAGUACUAGGAACUGGAGCCUGGACCUCGAGCAUACUAGUCAAGAGCUCUACCGCUGAAUUACGCCCCCAGCGCCUCGUGUGGGCAGAGGGAUCCCGGAGGACAGCCUGGAGGAAGAAGUCACCGUUUGCUACAGAGAGGACAAAUGGCUCAGAAUGACAACGCCGGGGCCACAUCUUUCUGUUCUUAGGUACAAGUGCACGCUGCACACGGGGAAUGUGUGAGUGUGUACACACCAGCACAUCCUGUAACAGAGCUCAGACCCCUCCAUUGGUUCCCAACCCGCAGCUGCUCCCAGAGCAGACUGUGAUUUGUAGUGCAGGCCACCCAGGGACUUUAAUCUUCACCGUGACAAAUGCAAUAAAAGGAACACUUUGGAG